UGGGGAAUUUUGGACAAUGGGGGCAACCCUGAUCCAGCAAUGCCGCGUGAGUGAUGAAGGCCUUAGGGUUGUAAAGCUCUUUUGCCGGGGACGAUAAUGACGGUACCCGGAGAAUAAGUCCCGGCUAACUUCGUGCCAGCAGCCGCGGUAAUACGAAGGGGACUAGCGUUGUUCGGAAUCACUGGGCGUAAAGCGCACGUAGGCGGAUUUGUAAGUCAGGGGUGAAAUCCCGGGGCUCAACCUCGGAACUGCCUUUGAUACUGCGGAUCUCGAGUCCGAUAGAGGUGAGUGGAAUUCCUAGUGUAGAGGUGAAAUUCGUAGAUAUUAGGAAGAACACCGGUGGCGAAGGCGGCUCACUGGAUCGGUACUGACGCUGAGGUGCGAAAGCGUGGGGAGCAAACAGGAUUAGAUACCCACGUAGUCCCUGAGCGGGCUGGCAAGGCGCAU
rnacentral:rRNA from 1 species